GACGGAGGAUGCAAGUGUUAUCCGGAAUCACCGGGCGUAAAGCGUCUGUAGGUGGUUUAAUAAGUCAACUGUUAAAUCUUGAGGCUCAACCUCAAAAUCGCAGUCGAAACUAUUAGGCUAGAGUAUAGUAGGGGUAAAGGGAAUUUCCAGUGGAGCGGUGAAAUGCGUAGAGAUUGGAAAGAACACCAUGGCGAAAGCACUUACUGG
rnacentral:rRNA from 1 species